rnacentral:rRNA from 1 species
CCUACGGGAGGCAGCAGUGGGGAAUAUUGGACAAUGGGCGAAAGCCUGAUCCAGCCAUGCCGCGUGUGUGAAGAAGGCCUUUUGGUUGUAAAGCACUUUAAGCGAGGAGGAGGCUACUUAGAUUAAUACUCUAGGAUAGUGGACGUUACUCGCAGAAUAAGCAUCGGCUAACUCUGUGCCAGCAGCCGCGGUAAU